GCGAGGCUGGCUGAGAUAACACUUUUCCAAUGGACGCCACAGUGAGUCACAAGGCUCUGAGAGAAACCUUAAGGCCGUUUUGUACUGUGUGGAACCAGGGUUGACCUCUGAGUUCUGUCUGACUGGCAGGGGUCACGGAGAAACAGGCCUAAUUCUGCCGUUGUGGAUUUGAUUGAACUUUCUCUGAGGUGCACAAUUGAGAGCAUCUUGUCAGGCUGUGUCACCGCCUGGUAUGGCAACUGCAGAACCCACAACCGCAGGGCUCUCCAGAGGGUAGUGAGGUCUGUACAACGCAUCACCGGGGGAAAUCUGCCUGCCCUCCAAGACGCCUUCACCACCCGAUGUCACAGGAAGGCCAUAAAGAUCAUCAAGGACCUCAGCCACCCGAGCCACUGCCUGUUCACCCCACUAUCGUCCAGAAGAGGACCUGAGCCCGAGAACCAUGCCUCAGGACUACCUGGCCUGAUGACUCCAUGCUGUCCCAAGUCCACCUGUCCCUAGGACCAUGCCUCGGGACUACCUGGCCUGAUGACUCCAUGCUGUCCCAAGUCCACCUGGCCCUAGGACCAUGCCUCAGGAUUACCUGGCCUGACGACUCCAUGCUGUCCCCAGUCCACCUGGCCGUGCUGCUCCUCUUCUGUCCUUUCGAGGGAGUUUUUCCUAGCCACCGUGCUUCUACACCUGCAUUGCUUGCUGUUUGGGGGUUUUAGGCUGUGUUUUUGUACAGCACUUUGAGAUAUCAGCUGAUGUAAGAAGUCCUUUAUAAAUAAAUUUGAUUUGAAAUCAAUUUGAUUUGUUAAACAGCCAUCACUAACACAGAGAGGCGACUGCCUACCUCCAGACUUUGAUAUCAUUGGCCUCUUUAAUAAAUGGAACACUAGUCACUUUAA